UACGUAGGCAGCAAGCGUUGUUCGGAAUUACUGGGCGUAAAGAGUGUGUAGGCGGUGCUCUAAGUCUGUUGUGAAAUCUCCCGGCUUAACCGGGAGGGUGCGGCGGAAACUGGAGUGCUUGAGGGUGGGAGAGGUAAGCGGAAUUCCUGGUGUAGCGGUGAAAUGCGUAGAUAUUCGGAAGAACACCAGUGGCGAAGGCGACUUACUGGACACAUAUUGACGCUGAGGUGCGAAAGCGUGGGGAGCAAACAGG
rnacentral:rRNA from 1 species